AGAGUUUGAUCCUGGCUCAGGAUGAACGCUGGCGGCGUGCCUAAUACAUGCAAGUCGAGCGAACGGACGAGAAGCUUGCUUCUCUGAUGUUAGCGGCGGACGGGUGAGUAACACGUGGAUAACCUACCUAUAAGACUGGGAUAACUUCGGGAAACCGGAGCUAAUACCGGAUAAUAUUUUGAACCGCAUGGUUCAAAAGUGAAAGAUGGUCUUGCUGUCACUUAUAGAUGGAUCCGCGCUGCAUUAGCUAGUUGGUAAGGUAACGGCUUACCAAGGCAACGAUGCAUAGCCGACCUGAGAGGGUGAUCGGCCACACUGGAUCUGAGACACGGUCCAGACUCCUACGGGAGGCAGCAGUAGGGAAUCUUCCGCAAUGGGCGAAAGCCUGACGGAGCAACGCCGCGUGAGUGAUGAAGGUCUUCGGAUCGUAAAACUCUGUUAUUAGGGAAGAACAUAUGUGUAAGUAACUGUGCACAUCUUGACGGUACCUAAUCAGAAAGCCACGGCUAACUACGUGCCAGCAGCCGCGGUAAUACGUAGGUGGCAAGCGUUAUCCGGAAUUAUUGGGCGUAAAGCGCGCGUAGGCGGUUUUUUAAGUCUGAUGUGAAAGCCCACGGCUCAACCGUGGAGGGUCAUUGGAAACUGGAAAACUUGAGUGCAGAAGAGGAAAGUGGAAUUCCAUGUGUAGCGGUGAAAUGCGCAGAGAUAUGGAGGAACACCAGUGGCGAAGGCGACUUUCUGGUCUGUAACUGACGCUGAUGUGCGAAAGCGUGGGGAUCAAACAGGAUUAGAUACCCUGGUAGUCCACGCCGUAAACGAUGAGUGCUAAGUGUUAGGGGGUUUCCGCCCCUUAGUGCUGCAGCUAACGCAUUAAGCACUCCGCCUGGGGAGUACGACCGCAAGGUUGAAACUCAAAGGAAUUGACGGGGACCCGCACAAGCGGUGGAGCAUGUGGUUUAAUUCGAAGCAACGCGAAGAACCUUACCAAAUCUUGACAUCCUUUGACAACUCUAGAGAUAGAGCCUUCCCCUUCGGGGGACAAAGUGACAGGUGGUGCAUGGUUGUCGUCAGCUCGUGUCGUGAGAUGUUGGGUUAAGUCCCGCAACGAGCGCAACCCUUAAGCUUAGUUGCCAUCAUUAAGUUGGGCACUCUAAGUUGACUGCCGGUGACAAACCGGAGGAAGGUGGGGAUGACGUCAAAUCAUCAUGCCCCUUAUGAUUUGGGCUACACACGUGCUACAAUGGACAAUACAAAGGGCAGCGAAACCGCGAGGUCAAGCAAAUCCCAUAAAGUUGUUCUCAGUUCGGAUUGUAGUCUGCAACUCGACUACAUGAAGCUGGAAUCGCUAGUAAUCGUAGAUCAGCAUGCUACGGUGAAUACGUUCCCGGGUCUUGUACACACCGCCCGUCACACCACGAGAGUUUGUAACACCCGAAGCCGGUGGAGUAACCUUUUAGGAGCUAGCCGUCGAAGGUGGGACAAAUGAUUGGGGUGAAGUCGUAACAAGGUAGCCGUAUCGGAAGGUGCGGCUGGAUCACCU
rnacentral:rRNA from 1 species